UACGUAGGGGGCAAGCGUUGUCCGGAAUUAUUGGGCGUAAAGCGCGCGCAGGCGGCUAUGUAAGUCUGGUGUUUAAACCCAAGGCUCAACCUUGGGUCGCAUUGGAAACUGCAUGGCUUGAGUACAGAAGAGGAGAGUGGAAUUCCACGUGUAGCGGUGAAAUGCGUAGAUAUGUGGAGGAACACCAGUGGCGAAGGCGACUCUCUGGGCUGUAACUGACGCUGAGGCGCGAAAGCGUGGGGAGCAAACAGG
rnacentral:rRNA from 1 species